GGGGUAGUAAGGGGACCCCCUACCGGUCAGGCUUGGUCCUGGUGAUCGCGGGUUCGAAUCCCACCGUCUCCA
rnacentral:tRNA from 1 species